UUUCCGUAGGUGAACCUGCGGAAGGAUCAUUACUGAGUGAUUUGGGGUGCACCUUUCCCUUCUGGGGGGGUGUGCGCCGGUUACCCGCCCUUAUGUCAUCUGCACGGACCCGCUUUUUCUGACGACCCCCCAGGGUCCCAGAAGGGCGGGGACGAGAAUCUAUUUCCGCCGAGGUGGUGUGUCUCUCGCAAGAAAGGCACAUCCGCGGCGGGCCCAUAGCCUUUUUACUCUUUAUGAGAAUUUGAAGUCUGAAUAAAAAACAAAUUGAAGCAAAACUUUCAACAACGGAUCUCUUGGCUCUGGCAUCGAUGAAGAACGCAGC
rnacentral:misc_RNA from 1 species